rnacentral:tRNA from 1 species
GCGGGGGUAGCUUAAAUGAGCGAGAGCACUAAGGCUUCAACCCUUGGAGGUACCAGUUCGAACCUGGCCCCCCGCUCCA